rnacentral:sRNA from 1 species
ACCUCCCUGUGUAUCAUCCGUGGUAUAUUCUGUGUCAGGUUCACUUUGGCUUCUGGGAACCAGACAGUUCUUCCACCAUUACGGUUGUUUAAAGCUCACUUAAAAGGCUGGUAAGAUGGUUCAGCAGGCAGAAGCACUUGCUGCAGAAGCCUGGUGGCUUGAGCUUAAUCUGCAAGAUCCAUGUAACGGUGCAAGGAGAACUGAGCUCCACACACAUAUUGUAGUGCAUGUGCACAUGCGGGCACACACUCACAUACUCGUCACAAAGCAUCAUAGACACUUCCAGGGUCAGCAGAGAGAGGAUCCCUGAGCAACUCAUAAGUUGACGGGCCUCCUUACUUGGCUGGCACAAUUUCCCGAGGAAAUCUGCUCAUGUAUACACACGUGUCCUGGUAUGGAACCCGAGUACAAGUCCUACCCACAGAGGAGGGCCCUAGUCUCCAGAACCCCAGCAUCGCCUUAGGGGUCAGGAAGGGCCAUUGAACAGACCCUGUCCUUGCUCCCCUCCAGGGAGGACCCAUGGCGCGUGGCAAAGAUGGUCAAGUCGUACCUGCAGCAACACAACAUCCCCCAGCGGGAGGUGGUGGACACUACGGGUCUCAACCAGUCCCACCUGUCCCAGCACCUCAACAAGGGCACCCCCAUGAAGACGCAGAAGCGGGCCGCGCUGUACACCUGGUACGUCCGCAAGCAGCGAGAGGUGGCUCAGCAAUUCACCCACGGGA